rnacentral:rRNA from 1 species
GGGACUUCGGUCCUGAGUAGAGCGGCGCACGGGUGAGUAACGCGUGGGUAAUCUCCCUUGGUGAUCGGGAUAACAGCGGGAAACUGCUGCUAAUACCGGAUAAUCUUCAUGUUUAACUUCAUGGGGUAAAGGUGGCCUCUGCUUGCAAGCUACCACAUCAAGAUGAGCCCGCGUCUCAUUAGCUAGUUGGUAGGGUAAUGGCCUACCAAGGCUACGAUGAGUAGCUGGUCUGAGAGGAUGACCAGCCACACUGGGACUGGAACACGGCCCAGACUCCUACGGGAGGCAGCAGUGGGGAAUAUUGCGCAAUGGGCGAAAGCCUGACGCAGCGACGCCUCGUGAGGGAUGAAGGUCUUCGGAUCGUAAACCUCUGUCAAGAGGGAAGAAACCUCUGGAUUCGAACAGGGUCUAGAGCUGACGGUACCUCUAAAGGAAGCACCGGCUAACUCCGUGCCAGCAGCCGCGGUAAUACGGAGGGUGCAAGCGUUAAUCGGAAUCACUGGGCGUAAAGCGCUCGUAGGCUGUUUGGUAAGUCAGACGUGAAAGCCCGCGGCUUAACCGCGGAACUGCGUUUGAUACUGCCAGACUUGAGUGUCGGAGAGGGUGGCGGAAUUCCGGGUGUAGGAGUGAAAUCCGUAGAUAUCCGGAGG